AUUGGAAUUUUGUCAUUCCAUAUUGUGAGUGAUGCUGACAUAAUUCCAAAUAACACAAAGCUUAACUCACCUCAAGUUCAAAAUAACUCAAUUGAUAAUACAAUUGAAAAAUUAACUGAGGAUGAAAUCAAGUAAGUAAGGAAUACCUGGAUGUUAUCCAUCCAAGAUUAUGCGGUUGAAUUUGGAGAUGAUAUUUUGCUGAGUUUUAACCCAAAAUCCAUUUGGUAUCUUCAGUGUAGUGCUUGUACACUAACUCCAGAGCGUUAUUUCAAUUACCGGAUGCAGCGAAAUAAUAUUCAGGUUACGAGUAUACUAUAAAUACAAUUGGGCGCCAUUGGAUUCUUGAUUUGCGCGAGAACAAAGGAAAAAAUUGGA